AUGGUUCCAUUGGUGAAUUCCGAACCAUUAUCACUUCGGAUUCUUUUACCCGGAAGCGUGAUGAGGACUUCUAUUCCUUUGAUGAAAUUGAUGAGUUCAGAGGCCAUUUCAAACUUUAGCCUAAGGAAGAAGACCCAAGUGAACCUUGUAAAGUCAUCAAAACUCACAAGGAUGUAUUUCUUGUGAUGAAGACUCUCUACAUCUGAGGUUCCACAUAAAUUUGUGUGAAGAAGUUCCAAUGGUUCUGAGAUUGAGUUUUCAAUGACGACAGUAUGACCCUUCUUUGACAGCUUACCACACCCACAUGCAACAGAAAAGUGAUCAUUUUCGAACUUGAGGAGUGGUAAUCCUCUCACCAUUUCACCUGACAAAAGAUCAUUCAUGUAGCAAAAGUUCAGAUAAGCAAGCCUUCGGUGCCAUAACUAGUUGACGUCAGGAAUAACUUUGGAAAGAAGGCACAAUUGAGGUUUGCCAAUGAUCAUGUUGAUGUCAAGCGGGUACAUAUUCUUAUUUCGAUUUGACUUAAUCAAGAAUUAUUUUAUGUCUCCAGUCAUUACGUAGCUAUGUUUCUUGCAAAAUUCAACAUGCCGAUUUGAGUCAGUGAGUUGAGCUACACUUAUUAGGUUGUGCUUUAGGUUAGGCACGUAGGCCACAUUUGAGAUAGAGAAGUUUCCAUUGGUGAGGAUUCCAUAACCAUGAAUUUGAGAUUUGAAGUUGUUUCCAUAUAUCACGUAACCAACAGUUAGAGAAAGUUUGAGAUCUCGCAGAAAGUCUUUCUGCCCCGUCAUGUGUAUAUAGCAAGCACUAUCAAUAUACCAUAUUAUCUCUUGCUCUGAAGCACAAAGUGACAGCAAAAAUUAUUGAGAUGUGGAGUUUUUAGACUCCAAGUUAGGUUUUGGGACAAAGGCACGGGUCUUGGGUUUANAUCAAUAUACCAUAUUAUCUCUUGCUCUGAAGCACAAAGUGACAGCAAAAAUUAUUGAGAUGUGGAGUUUUUAGACUCCAAGUUAGGUUUUGGGGCAAAGGCACGGGUCUUGGGUUUUGGUAGUGACUUUUGAGCAAU
rnacentral:lncRNA from 1 species